rnacentral:rRNA from 1 species
UACGAAGGGGGCUAGCGUUGCUCGGAAUCACUAGGCGUAAAGGGUGCGUAGGCGGGUCUUUAAGUCAGGGGUGAAAUCCUGGAGCUCAACUCCAGAACUGCCUUUGAUACUGAAGAUCUUGAGUUCGGGAGAGGUGAGUGGAACUGCGAGUGUAGAGGUGAAAUUCGUAGAUAUUCGCAAGAACACCAGUGGCGAAGGCGGCUCACUGGCCCGAUACUGACGCUGAGGCACGAAAAGCGUGGGGGAGCAAACAGG